CAAAGGCCUAUUGGCUUCUUCUCUUGCCAACUAGACAUUGUGGCUAGAGGAACCCCCUCUUGCCUCCGAGCUGUUUUUGCCGCUCAGGAACUCAUCAACCACACUGGGGACCUGGUUCUUGGCCACCCUCUGACUGUUUUGGCACCUCAUGAUAUUUCUGCCAUAUUUAACCAGGUCCAACUCAAACAUGUCACCCCUGCCAGGCACCUUCGUCUCCAAUGUCAUCUCCUGUUACCUGACAAUGUUACCCUUCAAAGAUGUCAGGUUCUGAAUCCGUCCACUCUUCUGCCACUCCCUGAGGGGGGUAGCUACUAUGGAUUUAUCAUGGAUGAAGGCUAUGUCCUACUUCUUACCCACACCAUUAAAAAGAUGCACCUCAAUUUACCCGCCUGUGACGGGCCAGAAUAUGCCUUCUGUACCAUGUGGUACAAGCCAAC